rnacentral:lncRNA from 1 species
UAUAAUAUAUGUCUGAGUCGGUAACAGUGUUCUCAGUGAACAAUUUUAAAAGCACAGAAAGCAAGGAGUGAUUUUGUGCCCUGUGUUCUAGGCCUCAGCUACCAGGCUCCUGCUCUCCCAAGGAGCCGCCUGCUACAGCCCAUUUCUUGGAUGUUCUUCUGGAUACAAUCAACUCUGGGGUUCCUUAUGUCCCUUCUCAUCUGAGAAACAGACUCCUGAGAGUACAAAUACUCCCUGCUCCAGGGCCCUGAGGCCCACAUCAUGCUCCUGUGUUACCCUUCGGAGGGAAUUCCUGCCAAGUGGCUCUAUACACUAUGGCAUGUGCCAUAGUGUAUAGAAGAGACACCAGAAGGGAACAUCAACUG